GGUUAAGCGACUAAGCGUACACGGUGGAUGCCCUGGCAGUCAGAGGCGAUGAAGGACGUGCUAAUCUGCGAUAAGCGUCGGUAAGGUGAUAUGAACCGUUAUAACCGGCGAUUUCCGAAUGGGGAAACCCAGUGUGUUUCGACACACUAUCAUUAACUGAAUCCAUAGGUUAAUGAGGCGAACCGGGGGAACUGAAACAUCUAAGUACCCCGAGGAAAAGAAAUCAACCGAGAUUCCCCCAGUAGCGGCGAGCGAACGGGGAGCAGCCCAGAGCCUGAAUCAGUAUGUGUGUUAGUGGAAGCGUCUGGAAAGGCGCGCGAUACAGGGUGACAGCCCCGUACACAAAAAUGCACAUAUUGUGAGCUCGAUGAGUAGGGCGGGACACGUGGUAUCCUGUCUGAAUAUGGGGGGACCAUCCUCCAAGGCUAAAUACUCCUGACUGACCGAUAGUGAACCAGUACCGUGAGGGAAAGGCGAAAAGAACCCCGGCGAGGGGAGUGAAAAAGAACCUGAAACCGUGUACGUACAAGCAGUGGGAGCACGCUUAGGCGUGUGACUGCGUACCUUUUGUAUAAUGGGUCAGCGACUUAUAUUCUGUAGCAAGGUUAACCGAAUAGGGGAGCCGAAGGGAAACCGAGUCUUAACUGGGCGUUAAGUUGCAGGGUAUAGACCCGAAACCCGGUGAUCUAGCCAUGGGCAGGUUGAAGGUUGGGUAACACUAACUGGAGGACCGAACCGACUAAUGUUGAAAAAUUAGCGGAUGACUUGUGGCUGGGGGUGAAAGGCCAAUCAAACCGGGAGAUAGCUGGUUCUCCCCGAAAGCUAUUUAGGUAGCGCCUCGUGAAUUCAUCUCCGGGGGUAGAGCACUGUUUCGGCAAGGGGGUCAUCCCGACUUACCAACCCGAUGCAAACUGCGAAUACCGGAGAAUGUUAUCACGGGAGACACACGGCGGGUGCUAACGUCCGUCGUGAAGAGGGAAACAACCCAGACCGCCAGCUAAGGUCCCAAAGUCAUGGUUAAGUGGGAAACGAUGUGGGAAGGCCCAGACAGCCAGGAUGUUGGCUUAGAAGCAGCCAUCAUUUAAAGAAAGCGUAAUAGCUCACUGGUCGAGUCGGCCUGCGCGGAAGAUGUAACGGGGCUAAACCAUGCACCGAAGCUGCGGCAGCGACACUAUGUGUUGUUGGGUAGGGGAGCGUUCUGUAAGCCUGCGAAGGUGUGCUGUGAGGCAUGCUGGAGGUAUCAGAAGUGCGAAUGCUGACAUAAGUAACGAUAAAGCGGGUGAAAAGCCCGCUCGCCGGAAGACCAAGGGUUCCUGUCCAACGUUAAUCGGGGCAGGGUGAGUCGACCCCUAAGGCGAGGCCGAAAGGCGUAGUCGAUGGGAAACAGGUUAAUAUUCCUGUACUUGGUGUUACUGCGAAGGGGGGACGGAGAAGGCUAUGUUGGCCGGGCGACGGUUGUCCCGGUUUAAGCGUGUAGGCUGGUUUUCCAGGCAAAUCCGGAAAAUCAAGGCUGAGGCGUGAUGACGAGGCACUACGGUGCUGAAGCAACAAAUGCCCUGCUUCCAGGAAAAGCCUCUAAGCAUCAGGUAACAUCAAAUCGUACCCCAAACCGACACAGGUGGUCAGGUAGAGAAUACCAAGGCGCUUGAGAGAACUCGGGUGAAGGAACUAGGCAAAAUGGUGCCGUAACUUCGGGAGAAGGCACGCUGAUAUGUAGGUGAAGUCCCUCGCGGAUGGAGCUGAAAUCAGUCGAAGAUACCAGCUGGCUGCAACUGUUUAUUAAAAACACAGCACUGUGCAAACACGAAAGUGGACGUAUACGGUGUGACGCCUGCCCGGUGCCGGAAGGUUAAUUGAUGGGGUUAGC
rnacentral:rRNA from 1 species